CCAAACUUGGUCAUUUAGAGGAAGUAAAAGUCGUAACAAGGUCUCCGUAGGUGAACCUGCGGAGGGAUCAUUACCAGAAAUGGGCCCCUCGGCCUCAUUUCCAACCCUUUGUAGACCUAAACCUUUUUUGCCUCGGGGGUGGAGCGUCCGUCGCCGGCCGCCGCCCCCGGAGGACCAACCAACGCUGUCUUUUUACGUCGGAGUAUCGAUUAAAUGAAUAAAAACUUUCAACAACGGAUCUCUUGGUUCUGGCAUCGAUGAAGAACGCAGC
rnacentral:misc_RNA from 1 species